CACUCUGAAUUUCGGGGUCGUUCUGCAGCGCUGGGAGCUCUGGGGGAAGCCCUGAAGGAUAAAAUGGCUGCCCAGAGCUCCCAGGAUGUAUUUUUGGGGUGUUUUGUGCAAGUUUCCUCCCUCAAACCCCAGGCUGCUGCAGAGGAGAGGCUGUGACUCACUGGGCUUGAGUGCUGUGCAGCAGCAAUUUGAAUUCCACUCAAUUUGUGGAAUUCAAGCAGGCAAAAACUGGCACAAUUCCCUUCAAAGUGUGCUGAUCUCCCCAUCUCCCUGCAGAUCAGAAGCUGGAAUUCACCAGAAGAGAAGGAACACGAGCAAAUGGAUAUUUUACAAGACAUUUUCUGCUUGCAGGAGGUGAAGAGGUGCAGGGUGAAAUCCAUAGGGGAAAAAAAUUUGGAGUGAGUUUUUUUCCAGUGCAGCUGGGUCAUUUCUCCUGAGCUACCACGAGAGGGACACAGGAGGAAAGCAAAAGGAGCUGGGAGAGGAAGAACCCAAGGAAGAGCUCGAGGUUUAAUUGGGGAUAAAUAUUCCCAGAACGAGUCACGGGGAUGUAACUCCAUGAGGGAAAAGGAGGAGAAGAUUUGGGGCAAAAUCCAGGGAUUUUGGAUGAAGAAAGUUCUCAGAAAUUGAUGAGAGUGUGGAACCCAGGAAUAUUCUCGGGAAGAACUGUGCCUUGCUGUUCUCUGUGAGGACACAGGAUCGUGAUGGAAACACCUCAGCCCCUCCCUGGCUCCAUCCCAGCUGCUCCUCCAGAGCCACCAGAGCCUCCUGCCUCCUCCAGGGGCUGUGUGAGGAGGCAGAGUUCCCUCUGGGAAGGGCAGCCAGCUGGAAUAAUCCCUGGGAAGAGCCAUGGAAAUUCAGAGAUAAGGAUUUCUCCGUGCUGGCCCCUCCAGGCUCACCAGCAGAGCUGGGAUUCACAUUCCAGAGGCUGCCACAGGUGCUGUGGUGGAAGUGGGGCCUGGUGGAGCUGCUGGAUUCUGAGCAGGGCCUGUGGCAGCACAGCAAAGCCAUGGAGGAGUCUGGAAACUCUGAACUGGGGCUGGUUUUGCUAAAAACGGCCCCGCUGGCUCUGAUUUAUGAGCAAACAGAAGUUUGCAAAUGGCCUCGGGAGCCUGGCCCAGAAAUCCAUGAGCCUGAUGUCAUGUGGAGAGAGCCCAGAACACAGAAUUAUUUUUAUGGGGUUGUUAGCAAGUGUUAUUAAAAAGAAAUUGAAAUGUUCAA